rnacentral:misc_RNA from 1 species
AAGGAGUCUAACAUAUCUGCGAGUAUUUGGGUGUUAAACCCGAGUGCAUAAUGAAAGUGAACGUAGGAGCCACGCGCAAGGUGCACCUUCGACCGAUCUGGAUCUUUAGAGAUGGAUUUGAGUAAGAGCAUAUAUGUUGGGACCCGAAAGAUGGUGAACUAUGCCUGAAUAGGGCGAAGCCAGAGGAAACUCUGGUGGAGGCUCGUAGCGAUUCUGACGUGCAAAUCGAUCGUCAAAUUUGGGUAUAGGGGCGAAAGACUAAUCGAACCAUCUAGUAGCUGGUUCCUGC